UGUCCUGGGACUGCCCAUGGGAAAAGCGUCAAGACCACAGUUGGGCAGAGCUUUAUAGUACCUAAGAAGAAAAGGGAGCACAAAGAGUCUAGUUCUGCCGUCCUACUCCCUACAGUGGGGCUAGUGUGGAUCAUUCUUUAUUGGAAGUAGAUGACCCUCUCUUUUCAAAUGGCAGCACCUCUGUAUUAUGAGAAUACCAGGCUCUUAUGCAGGUGUCCAAUCAUUUUGUCCACAGGCAAAAAUGAUAUUUUCCCUUUCUAACAGCUUCUCAGGGAGCUCUGCACUUAAGUGAUUUGCAUCCUUCAUUGUUAAAGGGAAAAUGUGUAGCCUUUCUGUCAGCAUUUUCUCUCUCCUUUUUAGGGCAGCAGCUGGAUGAAUUCCUACAGCUGGCUGUGGACAAAGUGGAGGCUGGCCUGGGCUCUGGGCCCUGUCGUAGUCAGGCCUUCACUCUUCUUCUCUGGGUAACAAAGGCCCUAGUGCUCAGAUACCAUCCUCUCAGCUCCUGCCUUACAGCCCGGCUCAUGGGCCUACUGAUUGACCCAGAAUUAGGUCCAGCAGCAGCUGAUGGCUUCUCUCUGCUCAUGUCUGACUGCACUGAUGUGUUGACUCGUGCUGGCCAUGCUGAAGUGCGGAUCAUGUUCCGCCAGCGGUUCUUCACAGAUAAUGUGCCUGCUUUGG
rnacentral:sRNA from 1 species